rnacentral:tRNA from 1 species
AUGCCUCUAGCUCAUUGGCAGAGCGGCGGUCUCCAAAACCGCGCCGUACCAGGUUCGAUUCCUGGGAGGUAUG